GACGAACCGUGCGAACGUUAUUCGGAAUCACUGGGACUUAAAGCGCGUGUAGGCGGGACGGCACGUCGGUCGCUGAAAUCCCCCGGCUCAACCGGGGAACGGGCGCCGAUACGACCGCCCUGGAGGGACGUAGGGGGACCUGGAACUUCCGGUGGAGCGGUGAAAUGCGUUGAGAUCGGAAGGAACGCCCGUGGCGAAAGCGAGGUCCCGGACGUUUUCUGACGCUGAGACGCGAAAGCCAGGGGAGCGAACGGG
rnacentral:rRNA from 1 species